rnacentral:rRNA from 1 species
CAGCAGCCGCGGUAAUACGAAGGGGGCUAGCGUUGUUCGGAAUUACUGGGCGUAAAGGGCGUGUAGGCGGACUGUCAAGUCAGGGGUGAAAUCCCGGGGCUCAACCUCGGAAUGGCCUUUGAGACUGGCGGUCUUGAGGACGGGAGAGGGUCGUGGAAUUCCCAGUGUAGAGGUGAAAUUCGUAGAUAUUGGGAAGAACACCGGUGGCGAAGGCGGCGACCUGGACCGUAUCUGACGCUGAGGCGCGAAAGCGUGGGGAGCAAACAGGAUUAGAUACCCUGGUAGUCCACGCCGUAACGAUGUCGGCUAGACGCUGGGCAGCAAGCUGUUCGGUGUCGGCGCUAACGCAUUAAGCCGACCGCCUGGGGAGUACGGCCGCAAGGUUAAAACUCAAAGGAAUUGACGG